rnacentral:lncRNA from 1 species
UCUCCUGAGCUACGUGUCUCUACGCUCUCAAUCCACCACCCAAUAAACAUGGAUCAGGUAAUGCAGUUUGUAGAGCCCAGUCGGCAGUUUGUAAAGGACUCAAUUCGGCUGGUUAAAAGAUGCACCAAACCCGACAGAAAAGAAUUCCAGAAGAUUGCCAUGGCUACAGCUAUAGGAUUUGCUAUCAUGGGAUUCAUUGGCUUCUUCGUGAAACUGAUCCAUAUACCC